GGAGUUACAGCUCAGCCGUAGAGUGCAUGCUUAACAUGUGUGAGGUCCUGGGUUCAAUCCCCAGUGCCUCCA
rnacentral:tRNA from 1 species